GACGGAGGGUGCUAGCGUUGUUCGGAAUCACUGGGCGUAAAGGGCGCGUAGGCGGCCUCAGGUGUCGGAUGUGAAAGCCCGGGGCUCAACCCCCGGAGGUGCAUCCGAAACUCUGGGGCUGGAGGUCGGAAGAGGAGGGUGGAAUACCCAGUGUAGAGGUGAAAUUCGUAGAUAUUGGGUGGAACACCGGUGGCGAAAGCGGCUCUCUGGUCCGGACCUGACGCUGAGGCGCGAAAGCGUGGGGGAGCAAACAGG
rnacentral:rRNA from 1 species